rnacentral:rRNA from 1 species
UCGGGAAUUUUGGGCAAUGGGCGAAAGCCUGACCCAGCAACGCCGCGUGAGGGAUGAAGUAUUUCGGUAUGUAAACCUCGAAAGAAUGGGAGGAAUAAAUGACGGUACCAUUUAUAAGCUCCGGCUAACUACGUGCCAGCAGCCGCGGUAAUACGUAGGGAGCAAGCGUUGUUCGGAUUUACUGGGCGUAAAGGGCGCGUAGGCGGCGCGGUAAGUCACUUGUGAAAUCUCUGAGCUUAACUCAGAACGGCCAAGUGAUACUGCUGUGCUAGAGUGCGGAAGAGGCGACCGGAAUUCUUGGUGUAGCGGUGAAAUGCGUAGAUAUCAAGAGGAACACCUGAGGCGAAGGCGGGUUGCUGGGCCGACACUGACGCUGAUGCGCGAAAGCCAGGGGAGCAAACG